GCACUCGUACACCCCCUCCUCCUCCUUCUUUACCUUGGACAGGCUGAGGCGGUGGGAGAUGGCGCUGCCCUGGACACGCACGGUCUGGAUACAGAAUAACCCUGAUCUGUCGGCCCCUUGCUCUUGGCUUAUCCUUCUGAACAAAACAUAGGAAAACGCUGCGGAUGUGAUUGUCCCUGACUCCUCUGACAACUGAGAAAGACUGAUUUGUGAUGCUGGAGGGAAAAUAAAUUCCCCCUGCCACAAUAUUCUAUCAUGGUGGUUUAAUGCAGCGGACCUGAGAGGAAUGUAAUGGUGUUGAUAACCAACAAGUGCCCUUUCAGCAGCCAGAGAGCCAUCGCCACAGAGGGAAUGCUCAGGAUUCAUCAACAAAUGCAUCGCUUUCAAACACUGGGAUCCUUACUUAAAUAAAUAGGAAACUCAAAAGAUUAAAGAAACUGUCUGCAACAGGCCAAUGAAUACAAAA